rnacentral:lncRNA from 1 species
GAAAAUAUAGGUAGAGGACAUUUAUCCUACUAACUAUUUUCCUCCAACUUAGAUCAUGGUAAGUGCUUUCUUGAACUACCUCACAAGUAAACACACGCACACAGGAUACAUACACCCGAAAAAAAAUAGCUGCAGCUGUCUCUAGUUGCCGAAAACAACAUAUGGUAAGAUGAAAGUCAUACUUGCGGAGAUUGAGAGACUUAGAGGUGUAUAAGGUGGGAGGAUGUUGGGCGUCAUGUUUAGUAUUAUGCUUUGGCCCAUUGCACUCCGCAAUCUCUUCGUGUUUACUAUUCUGCUUUGGACUACUGUACUCCACAUUCUCGCCAACGGUCGACAUCUUUUCGUCCCUUUGCUAUCUAUCCUUUUCUCUUUGCUAUCUAUCCUUUUCUGGUCAUUGUUAGAAAUUCAAACCAUCUAUAAUUAGAAUUACAACAUUCGGUUUAUAAAAAUCAAUUUAACGGGUUAGUGCUCUUAACUAUUUGAGAUAUAUAGGGCCCUUGCUAGAUCCCAAAAUCCCAGAGGGAUUGUUAACUAGGAACACUCAAUGAUCUUUAGCAGCAAAAAGGCAAAAAUAAAAUAAAAUAAAUAAAUAUAUAAAAAAACACAAAAAAUAGUAGAAGGCAAGAUAUAAAUAAGAAAUUUAUUCAAGUAAGCAAUAUCUCACUUACAUCUGUUUUUGCAAUUCCUAAACAGAAAGGAAAAAAAAAUCCCAUUGUUUUUUUUUUUUUUUUACAUUGAUUUUUCUCAACUAUUUUUAAAAUAAUAAUUUUCCUUUCUCAGUCAAAAUUUUAAGUAUUUGUGGCCCUUUCCAACUCUAACUCUAAUAAUCCCUCUACAACCAAAGUUGCCAUUGACAACAUUUGUAGACAUAGUUUCUUCAUGGAGGCUCUUUCAAUACAUUAUCAUGUUACCAAGAGAGAAAAUAAAAACAAUGGGAAUUUUUUUGUUCUUUUAUGUUUUGAUAAAAAGCUAGUGGUUCAGUAUGUAAAAUUAACUAUAAAAAAAACGAAGAAGCUGUUUUGAUAAUUAAAAAAGAGAGGACACAUAUCACUUUGUGGUUGACCCUCAA